CACCAGGCGAUCUCCCCCCUCCCUGACAAGGUAAGAAGCAGGGAGGGGGGAAUAAAAUAAAAAAAUAUAGACACAUAAAGUAAAAAAAAAAAUGCUUCCCCUCCCCAUCAUCCAGCACACAUACACUCACACACCCAUCAUCCAGCACUCACACACACAUCAUCCAGCACUCACACACAUCAUCCAGCACUCACACAAACACCCAUCAUCCAGCACACACACAUCAUCCCACACACACACACACAUCAUCCAGCACACACACCCAUCAUCCAGCACUCACACAAACACCCAUCAUCCAGCACUCACACAAACACCCAUCAUCCAGCACACACACACAUCAUCCAGCACUCACACACACAUCAUCCAGCACUCACACACACAUCAUCCAGCACUCACACACCCAUCAUCCAGCACACACAUCAUCCAGCACUCACACACCCAUCAUCCAGCACACACACACCCAUCAUCCAGCACACACAUCAUCCAGCACUCACACACCCAUCAUCCAGCACACACACACACAUCAUCCAGCACACACACACACAUCAUCCAGCACACACACACACAUCCAUCAUCCAGCACACACACACACAUCAUCCGGCACUCGCACACACAUCAUCCAGCACACACACACACGUCAUCCAGCGCGCACACGCACACACUGCAUUCAUUAUACACACUCUUCACUCACUACAAACACACUACAUUCACUAUACACCCUCUGCAUUCACUAUAC